rnacentral:rRNA from 1 species
CGUGUAGGCGGACCUUCAAGUCGGGUGUGAAAACUGGCGGCUCAACUGCCAGCCUGCACUCGAUACUGUUGGUCUUGAGUACAGGAGAGGAAAGCGGAAUUCCAGGUGUAGCGGUGAAAUGCGUAGGAUAUCUGGAAGAACACCAGUAGCGAAGGCGGCUUUCUGGACUGAUACUGACGCUAAAGCGCGAAGGCUUGGGUAGCAAACA